UACAGAGGUCUCAAGCGUUGUUCGGAUUCAUUGGGCGUAAAGGGUGUGUAGGUGGCGCCGUAAGUCGGGUGUGAAAUUUCGGAGCUUAACUCCGAAACUGCAUUCGAUACUGCGGUGCUUGAGGACUGGAGAGGAGACUGGAAUUCAUGGUGUAGCAGUGAAAUGCGUAGAGAUCAUGAGGUAGACCAGUGGCGAAGGCGGGUCUCUGGACAGUUCCUGACGCUGAGGCACGAAGGCCAGGGGAGCAAACGGG
rnacentral:rRNA from 1 species